UCCGUUAUCGUCCAGCGGCAGGAUAUCUGGCUUUCACCCAGGAGACCCGGCUCGAUUCUGCAACGGAA